UCAAGGAGUGUCGUUGCUGUGGAGUCGGGGUGCCUGGUCUGGUGUAGUUCCCAGGAAAAGACACCACACAUUAUGGGCGCAGACACUGACCAAGAAAACCCACUAAAGAAGUUACACUCUGAUGGCGGAGGAUCAAUUUCCUCAGCACGCCCCCGUCAGUGUCUGAUGAAGGACAGCAGAUUCUAGGUUUCUAAAGGACAGUUUGUCGAGGGCUGAAAGUGAAGACUUAUGAAACCAAUACUGCAUGCGUGCUACAGAUACACAUACAUAUGCUGAGAACAGACAGCUCAUGAGCAACACAUUGUGUGCUGCAG